GACGAACGCUGGCGGCGUGCUUAACACAUGCAAGUCGAACGGAAAGGCCUCUUUCGGGGGGUACUCGAGUGGCGAACGGGUGAGUAACACGUGAGUAACCUGCCCUUGACUUUGGGAUAACUUCAGGAAACUGGGGCUAAUACCGGAUAGGAGCUCCUGCUGCAUGGUGGGGGUUGGAAAGUUUCGGCGGUUGGGGAUGGACUCGCGGCUUAUCAGCUUGUUGGUGGGGUAGUGGCUUACCAAGGCUUUGCCGGGUAGCCGGCCUGAGAGGGUGACCGGCGACAUUGGGACUGGUAUACGGCCCAGACUCCGACGGGAGGAAGCAGUGGGGAAGAUUGCACAAUGGGUGGAAGCCUGAUGCAGCAACGCCGGGUGCGGGAGGACGGCCUUCGGGUUGUAAACCGCUUUCGCUCAUGACGAAGCUUUGUGUGACGGUAGUGGGUAAAGAAGCACCGGCUAACUACGUG
rnacentral:rRNA from 1 species